rnacentral:rRNA from 1 species
ACGGCCAUACCAUCAUCCUGAAUAUACCGGUUCUCGUUAGAUCACCGAAGUCAAGCAUCAUUGGGCGCGGUCAGUACUUGGGUGGGGGACCACCUAGGAACACCGCGUGCCGUU